CCAGGAAAAUGCUACCUGCCCAAACGCAUAGAGCCAGCUGUAAAGUUUGGUGGAGGAGGAAUAAUGGUCUGGGGCUGUUUUUUAUGGUUUGUGCUAGGCCCUUUAGUUCCAGUGAAGGGAAAUCUUAACGCUACAGCAUAACAUUUCAUUUUAUACGAUUCUGUGUUUCCAAGUUUGUGGAAGGCCCUUUCCUGUUUCAGCAUGACAAUGCUCCCAUGCACAAAGCGAGAUCCAUACAGAAAUGGUUUGUCGAGAACGGUGUGGAAGAACUGGACUUUCCUGCACAGAGCCCUGACCUAAACCCCAUCGAACAACAUUGGGAUGAAUUGGAACGCUGUCUGCGAGCCAGCCCUAAUGGCUCAACAUCAGUGCCCUGACAUCACUAAUGCUCUUGUGGCUGAAUGGAAGCAACAAGUUCCCCGCAGCAAUGUUCCAACAUCUAGUGGAAAGCCUUCCAUAUGAGUGGAGGCUGUUAUAUCAGCAAAGGGGGGACCAACUCCAUAUUAAUGCCCAUGAUUUGAGAAUGAGAUGUUUGAAAAGCAGGUGUCCACAUACUUUUGGUCAGGUAGUACAUGUUUCACAAAGAUAACAAUUUAUUUAAUGAGGCUUUUUUAGUGUGUGACACACACAUACACACACACACAUAUAUAUUAAUGAUAUAUACACACAGUUGUAUUAUGCAUACAGAGGAUUGAGAAGAUGGUGAUAGCUAUCCUAGCCACAAUACAAGAUGAAACAGCAUUGAUAACCUUUAUAGCGUAGUGUGGCUGUCCCUGGCAAAAAUAUCAAAUCAAAUCAAAAUGGUGUUUGUCACAUUCGCCAAAUACAACAAGUGUAGACUUUACAGUGAAAUAUAUACUUGCAAGCCCUUAACCCUUAACCAACAAUGCGGUUUAAUGAAAAAAAAAACAAGUGUUAAGAAAGUAUUUUCAAAAUAAACUGAAGUAAACAACAAAUAAAUGUUUAAAAAAUUAAAAAAUUUAAAAAAAGAAAAAUAACAAAUAAUUAAAGAGCAACAGUAAAAUAAAAAGGCUAUAUACAGGGGUACUGGUACAGCUGUAGGACUUUUCGAGGAUCUGACCCAUGCCAAAGGUUUUCAGUCUCCUGAGGGGGAAUAGGCAUUGUCGUGCCCUCUUCACGACUGUCUUGGUGUGAUUGGACCAUGAUAGUUUGUUGGUGAUGUGGACACCAAGGAACUUGAAGCUCUCAACCUGCUCCACUUCAGCCUCAUCGAUGACAAUGGGGGCGUGCUCAGUCCUCCUUUUUCUGUAGUCCACGAUCAUCUUCUUUGUCUUGAUCAGCGUAGCGGAUGUGUUGUUACCAACCCUUACCACCUGGGGGCGGCCCGUCAUGAAGUCCAGGAUCCAGUUGAAGAGGGAGUUGUUGAGUUCCAGGGUCCUUAGCUUAGUGAUGAGCUAUGAGGGCACUAUGGUGUUGAACGCUGAGCUGUAGUCAGUGAAUAGCAUUCUCACGUAGGUUUUCCUUUUGUUCAGGUGGGAAAGGCCAGUGUGGAGUGCAAUAGAGAUUGCGUCAUCUGUGGAUCUGUUGGGGGGGUUUGGAAAUUGUAGUGGAUCUAGGGUUUCUGAGAUAAUGGUGUUGAUGUGAGCCAUGACCAGCCUUUCAAAGCAGUUCAUGACCAGGCAUUCUCAGCUUCUAAAGGGAACUUAAACAUAUAUUAACACUAGAGGUGUUUACACAUUAUCUCACUGUCCUUUCUCUUUCCAUCAGAGAGUGAGAGGGGGGGG
ensembl:lncRNA